CGGCAACAUAAAGUGAUGGCUCAUCACAACAGCAGUCUUACCUUCAAUUUGCAAGCUUUUGUGCACAUGAGCUCUCUGUGAGCUAAGUUCAGGACUUUGAGGAAAGUAACCCAGUGACACAUAAAGCAUGAUAGGCUUAGGACGGUUCCAUCUAAUUUCUAAUUUGCAUGACCACGACUCUCCCUCAUCCAAAAAUGGGACCGAAAUCAAUCCAAAAGAGGGCUGGAUUUUUUUGAAUGUUCUCUGAAUUAGCUAGAUCUUCACAUUCUCGUCCAG
rnacentral:misc_RNA from 1 species